AGUUUGAUCAUGGCUCAGAGCGAACGCUGGCGGCAGGCUUAACACAUGCAAGUCGAGCGCCGUAGCAAUACGGAGCGGCAGACGGGUGAGUAACGCGUGGGAACGUACCUUCUGGUUCGGAAUAACUCAGGGAAACUUGAGCUAAUACCGGAUAAGCCCUUCGGGGGAAAGAUUUAUCGCUAAAGGAUUGGCCCGCGUUGGAUUAGCUAGUUGGUGAGGUAAUGGCUCACCAAGGCGACGAUCUAUAGCUGGUCUGAGAGGAUGAUCAGCCACACUGGGACUGAGACACGGCCCAGACUCCUACGGGAGGCAGCAGUGGGGAAUAUUGGACAAUGGGCGAAAGCCUGAUCCAGCCAUGCCGCGUGAGUGAUGAAGGCCCUAGGGUUGUAAAGCUCUUUCGCUAGAGAAGAUAAUGACGGUAUCUAGUAAAGAAGCCCCGGCUAACUUCGUG
rnacentral:rRNA from 1 species